ACUCCUACGGGAGGCAGCAGUGGGGAAUAUUGCGCAAUGGCCGCAAGGCUGACGCAGCGACGCCGCGUGUGGGAGGACGCCUUUCGGGGUGUAAACCACUGUUGCCCGGGACGAACAACUGACAUUGGUCAGUCUGACGGUACCGGGUGAGGAAGCACCGGCUAACUCCGUGCCAGCAGCCGCGGUAAUACGGAGGGUGCGAGCGUUGUCCGGAAUCACUGGGCGUAAAGGGCGCGUAGGCGGUGCGGUAAGCGUGCGGUGAAAGCUCGGGGCUCAACCCCGAGUCGGCCGUGCGAACUGCUGGACUGGAGCAUGUCAGAGGCGGGUGGAAUUCC
rnacentral:rRNA from 1 species